UUUCCGUAUGUGAACCUGCGGAAGGAUCAUUAACACGUUCCAAAACCUGAUCAACCAAUCUGAGAAUAUGUAUUUGCUGAAAUGAAUGACACAUUCAUUUCAGCCCACACAUAUAAAUUAUAUGGAGCUCUUUUGUCUGUUAGUAAUAGUGGGCAAAUGCAGUUUCUCCGUAUAAUUUGUAUGCUUUUUUCACACGCCCUAGAUGAAGUCAUUCUCAUAUAAGAGAGCGACGAAGUCUAUUUUAUAUAUCAAUAUUUUAUCUUAUUGCCUACAUCGUCAUAGAUUUGAAGUGUCGAUCAGCUUUGGUAAUACUCAGCCCGACUGCUACUAUAAUAUUGUUAAUGUAGUCAAUAUAGAACUAAUAUCUAAUUAAUAAGAACAACUCUUAGCAAUGGAUAUCUUGGUUCUC
rnacentral:misc_RNA from 1 species